rnacentral:lncRNA from 1 species
CUCCUAUCGGUUUCUUCUCCCCUCUUGGGUGGUACAGAGAGAAAAGGAGGAGGGGGGUUCAAUGGCUGCUGUGUGAUGCUGCAGUUGCUGCUUGAGUACUCACUUGAAGGGGAGAUGGUGGGAUGAAACUUUUAUUAAUUAGAUGGAGUGAAUUUUCCAUAAUGCCCCUAUUUUUCUCUAUAGGGAGGCUCCUUGGACAAAUUCUUUUCUUUACCUUGGCCAUGAAGUGCCAUGGGAUGACCUUUUCCUAUUCUGCUCUUGCUUGACGGGGUAAACAGUAUUGUCAAGCAUUAUCUCAGUUAUUUAAUCAGUUUCAUGCCCUUUUUUUAGGAUAAUUACUUUUCUGUGCUCCCAUUAAAGAAUUAUAUUAAAUUAAAAAGAUUUCUUGUCUGUUUUUGUUAGAUUCAUGUAUCUUUAUUUCAAAUAGUAUACUUAAUAGCUAUCUAUUUUCAUAUCAUUUUUUAAGUAUUUUAU